rnacentral:rRNA from 1 species
GAGUUUGAUCUUGGCUCAGGACGAACGCUGGCGGCACGCUUAAAACAUGCAAGUCGAACGUGAAGCCCGGGCUUGCCCGGGUGGAAAGUGGCGAACGGGUGCGUAACACGUGAGCAACCUGCCCCGAAGACCGGGAUAACACCGGGAAACCGGUGCUAAUACCGGAUGCCUUCACCAUGUCGCAUGGCGAGGUGAAGAAAUGGAUUCCGCUUCGGGAUGGGCUCGCGGCCUAUCAGCUUGUUGGUGGGGUAACGGCCUACCAAGGCAACGACGGGUAGCUGGUCUGAGAGGAUGUCCAGCCACACUGGGACUGAGACACGGCCCAGACUCCUACGGGAGGCAGCAGUUAGGAAUCUUGCGCAAUGGGCGAAAGCCUGACGCAGCGAUGCCGCGUGCGGGAUGAAGGCCUUCGGGUCGU